AGAAGGCUUGAUUGCGCCAAAGACUCCAGACAUCGAAUCCUUGCUCCGAGGGGAAAUCAUCGAAAACGACGGUGAAUGUCCGACAGGCACCCGCUAUUGGUAGCACUGGACAAGUCGGAUAUCCUUGCUUGGAUCCUUUUAAAGUUGCCCGAUAAACUGCUGAGAGUUGAUCUCUCCUCUUGUCCAAAGGUUUUUCGUUCAUUUUUACUUGUAAUACUGGCACUAGGGUUGAUGUAGUAGCUCCACAACAUAACCUUAAAGCCUGUGACUGGAUCCGGUCUAUUUUCCCAAGUCAUGUUUUUGAAGCAGAUUGGUAAAUAAUGCAUCCGUAAUCAAUAACAGAUGGAAUUAAAGUUAUAAAUAUAUACAUGUAUUGUUUUCAACGUUAACCUAUCAGCCCCCCAAUCAUUACCCCUCAAAGACCUCAUUAUAUUUAACACCUUUUUACUUUUUCCCCUAUUUUUUUAUUUUCUGGAAGGAACACUCCUGAAGGAAUAAAUAAAGUACUAUCUAAUCUAAUCUAAUCAAAUCUAUUUUGCUGAUGUGGGUUGACUAGUUCAUAUUUUUAUCAAACCAUAUUCCUAAAUAUUUAAAUACUUGUACCUCUUCUAUAUUUUCACCUUAGAGUUUUUAUUUGGAGCUUGUUUUGUACUUUUGUCUUUGUAAAAUGUAUGACUUUUGUCUUUCCAACAGAGAAUCUUAAACCUCAAA